AACGAACGCUGGCGGCAGGCUUAACACAUGCAAGUCGAGCGCCCCGCAAGGGGAGCGGCAGACGGGUGAGUAACGCGUGGGAAUCUACCGUGCCCUACGGAAUAGCUCCGGGAAACUGGAAUUAAUACCAUAUACGCCCUACGGGGGAAAGAUUUAUCGGGGUAUGAUGAGCCCGCGUUGGAUUAGCUAGUUGGUGGGGUAAAGGCCUACCAAGGCGACGAUCCAUAGCUGGUCUGAGAGGAUGAUCAGCCACAUUGGGACUGAGACACGGCCCAAACUCCUACGGGAGGCAGCAGUGGGGAAUAUUGGACAAUGGGCGCAAGCCUGAUCCAGCCAUGCCGCGUGAGUGAUGAAGGUCUUAGGAUUGUAAAGCUCUUUCACCGGUGAAGAUAAUGACGGUAACCGGAGAAGAAGCCCCGGCUAACUUCGUGCCAGCCGCCGCAGUAAGAC
rnacentral:rRNA from 1 species